rnacentral:tRNA from 1 species
GAGGGUACAGCUCAGUGGUAGAGCUUGUGCUUGCAUGCACCCGGUCCUGGGUUCAAUCCCCACUGCCUCCA